GACCAGCAAAAAAAAACCCCAUGGACCCCAUCCUUCGUUGCCCCCUCCCAUCGAUCCCAUCGACCCCCGACGCCGCCGUCCGAGGGGGACACGACGCCACCGCCGCCGUCCGAGGGGGACACGACGCCGCCGCCGCCUCUGCAAGGCAGGGCGGUUUGAAUCCCGCCGCCGCCGAACUCCGGAUCUCCUCGAUCUCCUCGAUCUCAAGCGCCGGCAGCAUCACCUGGAUCUCCUCGAGCCAGGGCCCUCCGCGCGCCAGCACCUUCCCCAUCGCGCGCGAUCUGUCCGCUCCGACACACGGUGAGCGCGCUACCGCCGCCUUGUCACCGACGUCCUGAUCCAUCAGCGGCAAUGGCGGCUCCUUCUGGCGGAUCAAGGCGCGGAGACCCGUGGGAUCCCCUCCUUCGGCAGGACCUCCUCAUCUGAUUGCAUUCUUGCACGGAUAGAGAGUGGAACACCACCUUCAGUUUCUCAUCUGAUCCCACUUGUGGACUCCAUGAAUGAAGCCUGAUGUGUAUCCAACGGCAUGGGAGAUUAAAGAUUUGCAUGAGACUGACGAUUGUGAUUUUGGCCCUGUACUGAAUAAUUUUGGGAGCGACUGGAUGAUGAUUAUUACAAGCCAGGAGGACUGCAUGUGAUGAGUUAAGGCACAAGAACUACGACCAUUUUAGCUCCAGCAGUAAGUACACAACUAAUCAACAAUGCAUUUUCACGACCCAGACUUCUGCAUUCUGGUUGACAGGCUCGCUGGCACAAUCACAUAAUCUCAUGCAUUCAAAUUGCUAGCUACACGAAGUACGCCCAGAUCUACGAGUAGGAAUCCAAGAAUAGGAAGAACCAUACCAACAACAUACAUACAUAUUACAGUUCUGCAUUUUAAAUUUGAAGACCAAGGCAAAGCCCGAUCGAUGUAAUUGGAGGCAUUGCAGUCCAAUUGUUCGAUUGUAACCAGACGUGUGACUGAAUACUGCUUCGAACAUGUGAUUCUGCAAAGUUGAGGAAGUUGAGGAAGUAUGGACUCGGAUCCUUUAAGGGUUUGUUUCCAUACUGUGGGACAGCAGGAUCUGAGUCCCACUAUGAGGGAUCAACCUUCAGAGAUCAGCUACAGGCGUCAUACUGCCCCCACAAGAAACAAGAACUUUCUAACCAAGGGCAUACCUACAAGACAGCAGGAAGUCCUAAGGCACGCAUCACACAUUCACAAAAGCAACCUACUCGGGUCCUCCCUGUGCACAUCUGGUGGUGGCUCCUCCUUCUACUUCUUCAUGUGCAGAUCUAUUGGUGGCUCCUCCUCCCCUCCAUAGAUCUUUAUAUUUUGCCAUUGCUAAAGAUUGUGAUGAUAAGGUUCACAGGAGAUGCAGGUACGUCUUCUGUCCAAAAAGGAUAAAUUGGUGUCCGAUUUGACCACAAGCAUAUGAUCUUUGCUCCACAAGGUUGUACUUUGACAAGGCAUGAUGCUCUUUUUUGUGUAAGUUGACGAACUCUGGUGAAUGAAUUGCAUUUUGUUUCCUUUAAUCAUGACAGUGUACACGAGUAUUUGGCUAAUUAUUAUUGCUUAAUUUAUGUUUCCAUCAAAACAGCGAAUUUGCAUACGUCUAAUUGAUAUUUGAACUGAUGGUAUAAAGUAGUUUUGAUCUCAAAAUAUUGAGAAGACAUGGAUUCAACUAGGGAGGAGUAGAGGAAGACCAUGCAAAUGAGGGAUAUGUAAGAUAUGUGUCCUAGCACCUUUCAUAAGGAGUUUUUUUUAAGGAGAUGUUCAUAAUAAACCAAUUCUGAAAGUGACUUUUCUAGCAAGCAUCUAGCAAGGGUGACAUGGCAUGUAUCAUCACAAAUAUACAAUGACAAGUGAUGUGUAUUUGUUCUUCCAUUGUUACUUUGGGUUUAUUUUAACAUAUCUCCAUAGUGAUUUGCUACAAUUAAUUAUUUUUGUUGUUUGUUUUUUGUGAAAGUUUUGGCAGGCUGUGAGCUGGAUGUGCUAUUAGUCAUGGUGCCGAGCUUGGAUUGAGGAGACGGAUAGAAGAAGGUCAAUGCGCUUGAGGAGGCGGCAGUAGCACACCUGUGGUCCAAAUCUAGGUGAAUUAUUGUGGCUGAUCUAGAGGCCUGUCUAGAGAACGGCAGGGCCACAACGUUCGUGCAGCGGUGGCUGUACACACCAUCCGGAGGCGAGCAACGGCUGCGCUGGCAACCGCUUGGAAGGGAAGCGAAGGUCAUGGAGGAGGAGGCUAUGCAUGGCCGAGGAGCAGGUCGUGCGCUGCCGCAGGGACGGGAGAGCCGGCGCCGGCUCCAAGUACGCCAUCAUCCAAGUUGCACUUGGGCUUCCCUCCAGCAGGUCCACACCGUAUCUUAGGUCAUGAUCGGGCUGACAGCGGUUUGUCCACUACACUCGACCAUGUGCUCAGCUGACCUGGAUGCCCAUAUUUUCCUAGACACCAUGGCACGAGUACCAACCUCACAGGCUGAACUGAUGGAUGUUGGUAUUUUGAUCUUGCUAUGUCAAAUAGUAUGAUGUAAUCUAUGGAGCUGAAGCUAUAGCUAGAUCUUGAUCUUACUGUCAUAUCCGUGUCAAGCACAAGCCGGCGCCUCUAUUUCCGGAUUGACAGCACACGAUGAGAAGAAUACAUGGUUUACCUCAGAGCUGGGGACUACAGAGGAUAGCGUCUUUGUGAAUUCAGAUAAGAAUAAUAUUGUAAGAGGGCAAGGUAUCAUGUAUACAAUCAAGCAUUGCAAAGGACUAGCUACUGCCUUGUUUAUUUUUUUAUGAUUGCCCAAAAUUUUCUUACUAGAAUUUUGAGAAGUUUGGCCAUCAGUUCUACUGCUUGGUCAUUUUAUAUAUCAUGUUGUAGUCUUUCUUUUAAUACAAGGUAAUAUUAAUACCAUCCAUGUACUUUUGUGUUUGCUGUCCAGUACAUGGUGACUAAUUUUCAUAUACAUUUUGUUUCAUAUUAUCCAUGAAUAUGUUUUUUGUGCUAAAACAAAAAUAUGGGGGACUGGUCAGCAUGCUAGGUCAGAGCAAAGCAAAAACCCGUAUAAAUGAGUCCCAAGGAGCAAAGAUCAUUAUGUAGAAUAGAAUAUUUUUGCUCCAUGAAACCUUCUGGGCUCCAUAAAUUGUGUUUUUGUGCUCAUGCUUGUGCACAUUCUAUAAUUUUGAUUCGUUGUUCAGGCAUUUGGAGUUCACAGUUAUCUAAGUUUCUCUUAUGUGUGUUUUCGAAGAAUUUGAUACUUUAGAGUCUUUCUAUUAUAUUAUCUUUGAAUCUACUUAGAAUAGAUUAGUAGUAUGAUAUAGUGAAGUAAUCUAAUUCAAUUUCCUUUUUCAUUGCAUCCACUGAAUUUCAAUUGGGUCAAAAUAAAAAAGUCGAAGACAAUUUUUUUCAGCCAUAAGUAGAACACCAGAGCUAAUUGAUACACCAUUUUGAAAAUUGAUACACUGUUGCAGGGAGAGCACCGCACGCAACAGUGGUCAAGGGCUUAGUGUCUGUUGACCUCGUCCGUGGCCGCUGUUGGUCGGUGAAGGAGGCAUGCAUGAGGUGGUGCAAGGGCAUGCUGGUGACGGAGUCGCGCAUCAUGAGGCCGGGUGAGUAACGCUCGGGAACUGCCGGGCGCUCAGACUGACGCGGGAUGGGGUUGGCGCGGUGACUCAAGGAGGAGGAUGUAGUUAUGGGGGAGGGAGUGACGACGGAGGGGCUUCGAUGGCCCGACGAGACCCUACAUCAUAAUCAAGGAGGACCCUACAUCUAAAGGAAACAGAGCAGUCUAUAUCAUUAGUCUAUUACUGGAUUUCUAGAAGGAAAAAGGGAUAAAUGGUUGUUUCUGCUACUCUACAUUUGCUUUAAAAUUGGUGUACAUAUAUCAAGAAGAACUUGGUUGCAAAAGUGAUCAAACAUAAGAGAAAACACAAACACAUUGGUUUUGUAAUUAAAUGCCUAAGAUCUUAUAAUUUUGAAUUAAAUUGUUUGAUUAUACAA